AUCCAACUGACGAGUCUCGAAUAGAACGAAACAUGCGUUGUGGAU
rnacentral:hammerhead_ribozyme from 1 species